GACGAACGCUGGCGGCGUGCCUAAUACAUGCAAGUCGAGCGCUGAAGGUUGGUACUUGUACCAACUGGAUGAGCAGCGAACGGGUGAGUAACGCGUGGGGAAUCUGCCUUUGAGCGGGGGACAACAUUUGGAAACGAAUGCUAAUACCGCAUAAAAACUUUAAACACAAGGUUUAAGUUUGAAAGAUGCAAUUGCAUCACUCAAAGAUGAUCCCGCGUUGUAUUAGGUAGUUGGUGAGGUAAAGGCCCACCAAGGCGAGGAUACAUAGCCGACCUGAGAGGGUGGUCGGCCACAUUGGGACUGGGACACGGCCCAAACUUCUGCGGGGGGCAGCCGUAGGGGAUCUUCGGCAAUGGGCGGAAGUCUGACCGAGCCACGCCGCGUGAGUGGAGAAGGGUUUCCGAUCGGAAAACUCUGUUGGUAGAGAAGAACGUUGGUGAGAGUGGAAAGCUCAUCAAGUGACGGUAACUACCCAGAAAGGGACGGCUAACUACGUG
rnacentral:rRNA from 1 species